AUUACCGCGGCUGCUGGCACGGAGUUAGCCGGUGCUUCUUCUGCGAGUAACGUCAAUGCACAGUGCUAUUAACACUGAACCCUUCCUCCUCGCUGAAAGUGCUUUACAACCCGAAGGCCUUCUUCACACACGCGGCAUGGCUGCAUCAGGCUUGCGCCCAUUGUGCAAUAUUCCCCACUGCUGCCUCCCGUAGG
rnacentral:rRNA from 1 species